AAAGCUCAAAUUUAAAAUCUGGUAGUCUUUGAUUGCCCGAGUUGUAAUCUAGAGAAGCGUUAUCCGCGCAGGACCGUGUAUAAGUCUCCUGGAAUGGAGCGUCAUAGAGGGUGAGAAUCCCGUCUUCGACACGGACUACCAGGGCUCUGUGAUGCGCUCUCAAAGAGUCGAGUUGUUUGGGAAUGCAGCUCUAAAUGGGUGGUAAAUUCCAUCUAAAGCUAAAUAUUGGCGAGAGACCGAUAGCGAA
rnacentral:rRNA from 1 species